AGACGUAGGAUGCAAGCGUUGUCCGGAUUCAUUGGGCGUAAAGAGUUCGUAGGCGGUUUGCUAAGUCUGAUGUUAAAGACCGGGGCUCAACCUCGGAAAUGCAUUGGAUACUGGCAGACUGGAGUGCAGUAGAGGCUAGUGGAAUUCCCAGUGUAGCGGUGAAAUGCGUAGAUAUUGGGAAGAACACCGGUGGCGUAGGCGACUAGCUGGGCUGUAACUGACGCUGAGGAACGAAAGCCAGGGGAGC
rnacentral:rRNA from 1 species